rnacentral:rRNA from 1 species
GGGCAUCAGGAAGAAAGCUUGCUUUCUUUGCUGGCGACCGGCGCACGGGUGAGUAACACGUAUCCAACCUGCCCUUUACUCGGGGAUAGCCUUUCGAAAGAAAGACUAAUACCCGAUAGCAUAAUGAUUCCGCAUGGUUUCAUUAUUAAAGGAUUCCGGUAAAGGAUGGGGAUGCGUUCCAUUAGGUUGUUGGUGAGGUAACGGCUCACCAAGCCUUCGAUGGAUAGGGGUUCUGAGAGGAAGGUCCCCCACAUUGGAACUGAGACACGGUCCAAACUCCUACGGGAGGCAGCAGUGAGGAAUAUUGGUCAAUGGGCGUUAGCCUGAACCAGCCAAGUAGCGUGAAGGAUGAAGGCUCUAUGGGUCGUAAACUUCUUUUAUAUAAGAAUAAAGUGCAGUAUGUAUACUGUUUUGUAUGUAUUAUAUGAAUAAGGAUCGGCUAACUCCGUGCCAGCAGCCGCGGUAAUACGGAGGAUCCGAGCGUUAUCCGGAUUUAUUGGGUUUAAAGGGAGCGUAGGUGGACUGGUAAGUCAGUUGUGAAAGUUUGCGGCUCAACCGUAAAAUUGCAGUUGAUACUGUCAGUCUUGAGUACAGUAGAGGUGGCCGGAAUUCGUGGUGUAGCGGUGAAAUGCUUAGAUAUCACGAAAGAACUCCGAUUGCGAAGGCAGCUCACUGGACUGCA